rnacentral:rRNA from 1 species
GACUUAACCCUCUUAUGGGUAAUUAAUCGGACACUAUGUCCCGUUCUCUCUUCUAGUUAUCCAUAUGCUGGGAACCACAGGAGGUUUAACUCGGACCGUGCUGCUGCCUGCCGGAGCCGACGCUGGAGCAAUUACGACCACGUUUAACCGGUACUCCAUGUCACCACGUUUAACCACUGGGUAGAAGAGUCGUCGGUACCUCCUUCGGUUUCCUUGGUGGUCUCUACCCCUUCGCCACGACCCCAUCUAGAGAACACGACCUUUUCCUGUCCUCUACAUUAAGUCCAAUGGGUCUUUUGACUUACAUAUGAAGUUCUCCUUUUAGUCCACACGAAUAAUAUGAAGUUCUCCUUUUAGACCAAAGGGUCUUUUGACUUACGUUUGUCCAUGUAUACCCCUUAGGUGUUUCGUUUCGUCGCCUUGUUUGCUGAAACAGUCUACAUGGAGGUCCAUAUUGAAGCAGAGAUUUAGAACGACAUAUACAGUUCGUGAUAGGGCGCGACGAAACAACUACUCAUUACUUCAGCAACGUCUAGUCUACCUCCCCCGUUUACAACUACUCUAAAUGGGUUCAUCAGGUCCAUACUCAAACACGCCUAUAUCAUUAGUAUUAAAAUACGAAAAUUACACUAGUUAAUAUGGGUGCCAAAAUGCUUGUAGGAAGUCUUGCCUCCUAUGAACUUGUUUGGCUUGUUGGCCAAGAAGGGGUUGGCUGACUACCACUAUCGUGUUUACAAGUUGCUGGAAGGGUAGACUAAUGUCCACUCAUAAUUUGUAUUUUACGGAUUAACUGCGAGAAGUCAAUCGUGAUGUGACUGAGCAAGACAAGUUAUUGACAAUAAAAAUGUAGUUCGUCUGUCGGGGCGUUUUACAUUACUUGGAAGCAAACACGGAGGGUCAACAGAGUGUGUUCAAACACGGUGUCUACAUCGUGUUUCAAGUUUACCAUAAUUGACUGCCGCCGUAAAGAUACAUUUGGCAUAUAGUACGAAUGUCCCCAUAAUUGGGUCAAAUACCGAAAACACAACAAGGUCAUCGACUUCUACGCAGAGUAUAUGUACCUCCUUCUGUACACCCCUAAUUACGCAGUUAUGCACUACGGAAUGUUCAAAAUGGGCACAGGCUACGUUGUAGGCUAAUGUACUGAUGUUGUAGACCUCACUUACAGCGGUUUGUUUGAUACUUUCCAUUUAACAGACUGCUUUUUUCCCUCGUCUAUUUACGGUCCUCUCGACGAAUAGCCUUCUUUUUUCUCCUACUACGCCAGUUCGAGGUACCACUGUAAGUUUGAAGGGAAUGUUACAGACCAUACUUACAAACAAAAAUUAGUUAUGCCAUUUGUUAAUUAUGUAGUACGAAAAAACCAAGCUGUUCAGAGUGUACAACGAGGAAGUUACUGUUAAUUGAUCGAUCGUACGUUGUAUUGCUCCUUUUCUCCCUCUAUUAUUUGUGCGCCUCCGCCCGUCGAAUAGCCUUCUUUCUACUACUCCAAUGGCAACAUGCCCUUCGUCAACACGUUUUACAAGAGGCCCGGGGAGAGCCACUAUAGUGAUUACCCAUAGUUGGUUGGAGACACCUGGAACUACUUUUUUUCCUCGUCGAUUUUCGAGCCUCCGCUCGAUGAAUAGCCUUCUUUUUUCUCCUGCGGCGGCAGUUCGUAGAUGUACUUUUAGACGGACGGGAACGCUAUAGUCCAUACUUAUAUCAUACAAAGUCGUCAUGCUACUAUAUAUAUCCGGGAAACAACGUUUGAUAUUCCAAUAAUAGCCUUCUAUUUACUGCUCACAUGGUGGAAGUUAUAUGUUCGUCUACACGUUUUACAAGUAUCCGGGCGAGAGCCACUAUAGUGAUUACCCAUAUUUUGUAGGAGACACCUGGAACUGCUAUUUUCCCUUCUCUAUUUUCGAGCCUCCGCUAGAUGAAUAGCUUUCUUUUUUCUACUCCGGCGGCAGUUCGUAGAUGUACUUUUAGACGGACGGGAAUGCCAUAGUCCAAUCUUACAAAAGACAAAGUCGUGACGUUAAUAUAAUGUAUGGGCGAGAUAAAGUCUUAUAUACCAAUUAUAUAAAAAGUAAGUUGAGUUGGUAAACUUAGAAACAGGUUGGAAGUUUUUAUUUUGUUAUCUACUUUGUUUCAAGCAUAACAGCUAUAACUAUAAACAACUAUAAGAUGAUCGAAGUAAGAAUAACUGGUUACUUCAAGACUAAUACAAAAGUGUAACAACAUAAUGGUCGGUUGGGUUGAUCCAGCUCGUUAUGUAGUAACAGUGUACUACUACGUCAUAACGGAGGAAGGUGUCAAGGUGAUGUGAGUGUACACCACAGAAUUGUUUGCUCGUUUAACUCGUCUCUUUGCGCGCCUCCGCUCGUUCAAUAGCCUUUUUUCACCCACUGCCUUGCUAACUAGAAGUUCUUUUUUUAGUCUUCGAUGCUCUUACUGCGUACGUUGUGGGAUUUUGGUACUGAAGCCUAGACGUUUCUUUUUGUGGGGCACACGACUUAGCUAGCGUUACGGUGCAGGUCUAGAUUGAUCGUGUAACAGGUUGGGAGUACGUGUAACAGGCUGAGAGUGCGAAAGUUGGGAGCGCGUUGUUAUGUCACUUGUUUAUCUUGUACGAGGAUGGCAGUUACAACAGGGGUGUAUGUAAGCGUUGUGGCUUUGGCUACCAUCAAUAGGAUAGUUGGUAGUACAAAGUAGUACAUUAGUAAGUAGUCUAUAAAUGUUUACUAAGCUAUUACAACAUCCACGUAUGGAUUCGUCUUGGAAGCCACUACCAAUCUACCGCUGUAGUAGCUUUAGUUACUCGUGGAUGUUUCACGGCUGGUCGUUUGGUCACUAGGCCAUUGUUAUCGCCUAUUACCUCACCUGCUCGUCUCAGUACUCGGGUCUCGAGCCGCAUCCUGCUCUCUCGCUCGAACGUUCCCGUCAUACCGCCACUUCUUCGCAGCCCUCUUAUAACCGUUCGUUUUUUGUACAUGCGUACAUGGUGCACCACUAUCCUUACGAGAUGAUCUAGCGGUAUUACUUUCCAAACGUCCAUCCCACUUCUGGGUUUGGCAGUCAAGGUAGAGGUUUGGCCUUUACUGGCUCUAGCCUGUUGGACAGCAUCAACUUCGUGUGCCAUUGAGCUGGAGUAGAUCGUGCGGCCUCAUGUGUUAGUCUUCACUUCCAUUGUGAGGGUAGGAAUGAGAGGAACGCAGGGAACUCUGACUUGGGAGUAAAUAAUCAAAGUGCGGACUCGUCUGCUGUACCUGCGAAUGGAAUCAGCAGAGUACUUACUCCUACAGUUGGGACUGUCGGAGAAACUGCUACUCAUAAUGGACAAACGACCACUUCCAUACAUGUGGGUGAACUCGUUGUAGGUGGACAACCCUUAUAGUGUGAUUAAUAUUCGGUAACAAAGGUCCGAGUCUACGGCUACUGUACCUCGUGCUGCUUAACCUUCUGAGUUCAGUGUUAUGGAUACAGCUGGUACUAGGUAACCUGAUACAGAUGAGUUUGGAGGGUCUGGUGUGUGUGUAUGACUUCGUGCGGCGUUUAACGCUAGUGACGUUCCGGUUCUUCAAACACAGGCUCCGGGGUCCUAAGAGGACAGCGUCACCCGUCUAGGUCGACUUCGUUGGCCUCGGGUAGGGCCUCGAUUACUCCGAAACCAGAUCGUACCUACGCCUGAGUUCCGUAAAAGCCCUCUUGUAUGCCAAGAAGUUGCCGGUGAAGAGGAAGUGUUGGGAGCCGCAGUCGGAACUACUUUCGAUGUGUUUGUACUUCAGACCCCACAUGUGCAAGGCCCGCGUGCCGUGGUAGAUGGUGUUGCAAGUAAGGAAGCCCGGUUGUAGUGCAGGUCUCGUAGAUGUCAACAUGAAGAUGCUGCUACUGGGUUCGGAUUGGGUAGCGUUCCGACGGUGGCUCGUUAAUCUGGUCCUACAGCAGUCUUUCAAUCACCUGUAUGAGUCCCUUUUGGGCAUGAGGGUCGUCAAAUCCCCAAACCCACGCGUGUACCUGUUGGAGCUGCUAAUGUCCUAUCUGGAGUUGUGACUGGUCUCUGAUCUGGUUGCCUUCAUAUUAUCUGGAGACAGUAGACUCCAGCGACGUUAAACCCACCUCCCGUGACUGGAUCGCUUCUCCAAGCUGGUAUCCUAAUGUGAAACGCCCUUACUGUUGGUCUCCGUGUCAUAUGUACACUGCCGACCGAGUAUACUGGGCGAGAGAAUGGGUGAGAAGAUGGGUUCCCCCCUCGAACCACCCGUGGAUUUUGAAGGAUGUGCACUACAGGGAACCGGCCAACACGUUGUUGGUUCUCCAUCCGCACUACUACUACUACUACUGCUACGUCCAUUCGGAAUACACAUAAGAAAGCAAAUCUACUUAACAUAUGAAGAGUAUACUUAGAAUUACAGGCGCAAUGAGUAGGUACACGUCUCCCCUUAUCGUCCAAUACGCAGAGCCACUCUCUGAUGAUGACAAUGUACGAGGUCUGUGCUGGACCCUAUAAGUUAGGGUAUGAGACACCUCGUGCUAACGAGGUCGUUACCCCCCAUCUGUACAUGUAGUUCUAACUCUCAACAUCCAACUUUACCAUGUCCUUCUUGGUCUGUUUCUAGGCACGACUGGACAUAUUUCCUCAACAACUACGUUAAUGUAGGCCCCUCUGGGCCCGUUCGCAACAACCUCAUUCCUACCACGAGGGACCUUGCAUGGGUCCACCGCUGGCGCUGUACUUCGCCUCGGUAUACCUACGGUACCGUUAACAGGUAUGGAUGCCCUUCGGACUGUAGAAGAACUGGUACUGGACGUUGGGAUUGACCCUUCUCUAUUGCUUACUCAACAAAGGACCGGUCUGUCGCGUUCUGGCUGGACUAGAACACCGAGUACACAAGGUACCGUUCGAUCUCCGAUACUUUCUCUACAACAAGUUCUUCUUAUAGGACCCACAACAACAGCGUGUACAUAUGCAUCAGCUCAAGGUCUUCUCCCCGGAGGGGGUACGUGUGAAAAACAACUAGUACCUAAGACGGAUAUUCGAACAGCAAGGUCUCGUCAUGCUGGCCGAGUAAAGACGGCUCGAGGGUCUGUUCGUCUUCAUAGGACUUGAGGUGCGUAACCACCACUUUGUAUACUACGUGCCUGGUACGCCACGAGAGUUGGGUUUUUUACACACGUACGUUGUCUUGCUCACGUUCACGUCUAUGGGCGCCGGCAAGUUACUUUUGUGUUGGGUCCCGUUCCUGAGUAUGGGUCAAAUAGCAGUAGCUCUAUUACCAGCCGUCCGAUUCCAGGCCUCAUUUUACAACCUGUUGUCUACCCAACACGGCAUAUUGGGAAUGGAAGACGUCUACAAGUUAACGGUGUAGUUGCAACUCCAAACGAGAUCGUAUUUACGGCAGUUUAUGGAAAUGUUCAUGUAUAUGUUCCCGGUACUAUCCCGAAGAAAGUCGUAGCUGGUCGGGCUGCGGCUACCAUUAUAACUACUCUAGUUUUCUAUGCAUCUGCGCUCCACCCAAUGAGGAGGUCUCCGCUACACCUCCUAUAAACCGAAGGGGAACACACGGUUACUGGGCGGACAGGAUGUCAACGGAGAAGUAGAGGGCUUAUACGUGUCCCACCGUAAGUUACUCGUUCGAGUGAACUGGCUGCAUCAGCGGAGACUCUUACGAAGGUUUAGGUACAACUGUCUCAUAAAGUUUCGAUUGGUUUUGGUGGGCACCCGAUCCUUAUAUAACAUGUUCCUAAAAGGACCUUCCAAGUGUACCGUCUUCCCAUUCUUCAUAACCUUUCUCGCCCACCUCGUAAUAGUCUAUCCAGCUUAACACAGACGGUUAGGACGUCUCCUCCUCGCUAUGAUAGACGCACACGACGAUUUGGUACAACGACCGUUCUGUAGGAUACUCCUGGACGAGUGGCACCUACCAUCCGAUACGCCCUCGAAAUCUCUCCAACGGCUUUCCAACCCUGAGUAGCUCCGUCUAUUGUGCGAGCUGCUGACAGAAUGGCUCCGUCUCGUCACCCGCUACGGUACAAGCGAGUCCUCCGAGAAACGUUGUUAAAACCACGUGACACUCGGUCCGCUGCACGCACCAAAUACCCUAUCCGUGAAGCUCGGAUACAGACUACUGAUAGCCGCUAGUGUGUGCAUGGGCUAACUCCACCUUGUCUACCAUAACGAACUGUAAUACCCAUACAACGUCAGGUACCCGUUUCUGUAUCGACUAAAGCGAGAAGGUACGUAACUGCUUCGCAAGCUGGGUUGGCUCCCGCUCCGGUCUCUUCACUAGCUCCUUAGGUUGCAGCUAAAACUGUAGUUGCUGUGAUUUAACCGAAGCAGCGAUUUGAGUCUCGUUUCCCGACGUAUGCUACUCUAUGAUCGAAAACAACUUGUGUCACUACCCCCACACAAGAAACAACUACCGGGCCCUCCAUGUCCCUUCUGGAAGGACAUGUCCCGCGACGAGCGGUUCCAAGCUUCGCUCCCUUCGUAGCGAUAGCGAUGGCGCUGCAGUCCGCAGCGGCGAAGAUAGUACGGACCUCCGUCCUGACGGGUGAGCUCCAAGUUCUAGGGUAACUCGACGCUGCUACCGCGGAGUACGUGGAAGUGCUUCGUCUCACCAUGGCGGUUCGAUGAUUCCUACCGGAGUAACUAUGAUACCCUACUCCGGUGGUACUGAUUCGCUGUCCGCCAGCUCCGUAACCUGUUGUCGUACGCACUGUAGUACCCUUCUGCCCUGGCUGGGAAACCUCCUUUUUGACAACACAAACCGCCCCUGAAGUCUGUCCACGAAGGCCAGCAGUCCUCCCCCAGGGCCCCAGUCUAUUAGCUACGUUGGGAGGCUUCAAGUGUGGAGACCUUCCCAUACGCGGUCGAUUCCGAGUAGUGGUUGUACUCCCGAGUAUUACUGUGGACCAAACGCCUAAUGAACGAUUCCCAUCCGUUACCGUGGCUCCUUCAACUGCUAGUUCCUUUGUAUGCUGAGGAACUUCUAUAAACACACGGCAGAUGUCCGCUCCCACUGCUGGACCUCUUCGACUAACUAGUACACAAGGGUUCUGAUCUACUCUUGUACAGGUUAGGCUUAAUGUACUGAAGUGCGCGUUAGGAGAGGUGGUGCUUGCUGUUGCAGCUGUUCUAUUUGUACGCGUACCAUCUCGCAAAAGCCCCUCUUCUUCAUUAGAUGGUAUCGAAACUAUCACGUCUUCUGCUGGGCAUACCGAUGAUACGAGGACUCAAGGAUUUACCUAACUGAGGGUUGCCAGACGGAGGCGUACGUGAGUUUGACUUCGAGUUGACGGGACAGUAUGAAGACUCCUUGUAACUAGGCCGAUUACCAGACACAUUGCCCUGCUCCGAACACCACGCUCCAAAGCUCUCCUUGCGGUAGCUGCGUCUUUAUCACUAGCCUGUUAUCCGUCCAUCCUCCCAUAAGGAAGGAGCUUAUGGGGAUACGAGCAGACUGUUGCUGUACAAAGGUAAGUUCAAGUUCUCCUUCGUUAAAGGACAUUCCGAAUCGAAACGAUACUGCUAAUUGUUCCGAGUUCCUGUCUGCUAAGGCUAACAACCGCACAUGGAUGGAUUAGGCCACAAGAGAGUACCAGAUGAGAUACAGCGUAACAGGGCUCGGUGGCGCUUCUUUUUAUAUUUCUAGGAGUAACUCUUCCUCUUCCUCUUCCUCUUACGGUUCUUCGUUUCGCCAUUUAGAUUCUUCGCUUUUUCUGGACAGAACAGGAAUGUCUGGAGCUACUUCUUGUAGUAGAUAUUCCUUCAGGAAUGUCCGAUUUCAGGCGAGAAUCUAUACUGUCUCCUAAAUGAGAAUACGAUGUCUAUUAAACCACGAAAGCUACAAGAACAUGUCUAGAGAUAUAAAGCUACAAUCGUUAACUUGAAAUAAUACAAAUAUGAUGUUCCGCACUAAAUUAUUAUAACGGAGUUUAAACUCUGAAACGUUCAACGGUUCAAAACGACAUACACUGUAAUAAAAGGCAAAACAACCAAACGAAUACGUAUAAUAAGAAAACAACAAAACAUUAGUUAGUAGAUGUUGUAGAUUUGAGCCGAAACAAAAGAACAUGUUUAUUACGUGUGACGGACCCAGUGAGGCAACAACAUUUUGAUCUGAGGUGACCUCACAAGAUGUAAUAUAUUUAUAAAUACUACGCCGGGGUUUCGUACGUGUCAGUUACAAUAAUAAUAAAAUGAUAAAUAAAUAAAGGGAAUACGUCUUAUUGAGACCAACGAACUAGUACUGGCUCUGAUAGAAACCAUAAUCUUGAGGUCAAUGUGGUUAACCAAUAAACGUAGAGUUCAAUUCAAUCAGUGACAAUUAGUUGUUACUUUACACCGGUAACCAAGAAGCUAUUAACUACCAUGUCUACCCGUUUCGUUGGUCUCAUAUAGGGUGACCUAAUUACCAUGUCUACCCGUUUGGCAAUUCCCGCCACUGAAGUGACGGAAUCCGACCUGCCAAGUUAUAAAUCAUCGUUUGGCAAUUUAUAAAUCAUCGUUAUAAUUGAGGGAAGGUAGGGUAAUGUUUAAUUAAAGUCAAUUUUUUUUGAACAUAGAGCCUUAUUUCCACCACCUUGAGGGGAAUUAGACAUGGUCUAUAAUUAUGAAUUGGGAUGUACCUUGUAACGUUCAUCAGCGACCUUUAGCAUCACUACGACUUUUUUUCCACAUGUCAUUUGUAGGUACCGUUAUCGAUUACCAAGUUUUCGGUUGUCUCUUUGAGAUGAAGUGUCUUUCGAACACACGCAAACCUUCGUUUCAUUAAAACUUCAAAAAGUCCUUAUCCUCGGGUGUCAAAUGGAGGAUAGAAACCUUCGGGUAAGUGUUAGGAAUGUAGGAAACUAUCUUUACUCUACUUGGUCAGCCGCAAUUUUUAAAGUCGUUUCAGU